CUCGGGGCAACUGCCUGUGUCCCUUAAGAAAGGGAUCGAAAAUAAGACCCCGAAUCUCUGACUGCCCCGUAUAGAUCUAUGGGACCCCGCGGCUUGAGUCCUGUGUUCCCAGGAAGGGCUGUGAUUGGCAUUGAAAAUGAGAUGAGCCAGUCAUGAAAGACACUAAGAACAUAGUUUAUUUACAUCCAUAAUAAGCCAUACAUAAGUCCCAUAUAUGACACUAUAGGAUGGACGAGAUGGACUGGGAGUCCAAUAACAACUCUUUUGACACAGAUAUUUACAUGCCUCAAAUGUCACAGUGUGAUCAAGUAGUUGUUUCUAUGUGGCGUCUUGGAGUUUCAGCA